CGGUUCGUCUCUAGAAGCGAAGAAGAAAUCUGGUCGUUAACAAGGACGAUGAUACUGUCCAAGAUUUUUGAAGUAAUCGUAAUAAAUGGUACGAAUGGACAGGCUGCUGCGGUUUCAGUAGUAUAGAAUGGAGUUGUUGAUAUUGGGAAGCGGUUCCUUAAUGUUUUUGAAGUGUCGAUAACUCUGUUUAUGCUGUUCGAUGCUUGUACAUUAUAG
rnacentral:misc_RNA from 1 species